UUGCACCUGUUGAUAGAAGGUUUCUUAAAAAACUUUUUUUUUUGAAACUGACUCAAUGGUGCACAAAGAAAAAGCUGUUUUGCAGCAACGGCCAGACAACCGUAGAGAUGGAUCCACAGAUGAGUAGUUUGUAAUACCACUCAUCUACUAUUUCUAUCUCACAUUC